GAGAAAGAAGCCCACACCAAGGGUUGUCCCAGGCUCCCGGUGUGUUUGCUACUGCCUGCUGCACAGAGUUCCGACAGGGUCCUCCCUUAACAAGCAAAGAGGAAAAUCAUCUCUGUUGCGAUGCCAGUGUGACUCGGCAAAGUUGCAUCUAGCGUGCGCGUCUGUCCUGGCUGAGGGGGGCUGAGAGAGGCUUUGCUGCCCUUUUCCCCCUUGAAUACGAGUUUCUCGUGACUUUCCACCACCCUGAACUCACAAUGAUCCGUCAAGGACCUUCUCCUAUUUCCCUCCCAGCACCAUCCUAAUUUCCUCCCUUCAGUGGCUUCUCUCCUCUUCAUGAUCACUUUAUCCCUUCCUGGACCAGAGGAAAUAACGAGAGACAGUGCCUCCUCCGCUGAAAAUCCACAGCCAGGCAUGGACCCCUCCUCACCACCUCCUACUAUGGUACUUAAAGACCUCACCAUGAAAAACUGGAUUGCAUAAAGGACUGCUCCUGGACAGAGACCCCUGGCUUGUUAUAUUUGCACAACUGGACAGUUUUCAUGGCAUAGAUUGGAUGGACUCUGUCAGUGACAGGAGGCAAUGUCCCUCCUGAAGGAGGGAAGGGAGUCUCUUCACUAGCAAAUACUCCAGCCAUUGGGGAAAAAAAAAAAGAUCCUGUGAUUCCAACCAUGGAACUGCUACUCAAAACAACUGCAAGAAAGAGGAAGUAGAGACCACGCGAGGUAUUUCCGUGUAAGACUGUUCCACCUUGAGAAAAGAAGCAAAAUGUGGAAAUGGGUCCUUCGCUGGAGAAUGGAUUAAAGAGUCUUUGGUCUCCUUCUGAAUUGUGCUACUUAAUUUAUCAUCACCACCAUCAUCAUCAUCUUUGUUGUCAUCAUCUCCAUCACCCGUGCUUCCUACAUGCCAGAAGUGUUGUGUUCCCUGGUUGAUCUCAUUUAAUUCUUCUGACAGCAAUAUGAGAAUCACCAUGGAAACCACAGCCACAAAUCCUGACAGCUCAAAUAUCACAAGUAGUGCUGAUAAUUGAUGGCAUGAAUAUCUGACAAGGUGUGUCUGCAUGAACUUCUAUGCACCAGAAACUUUCAUUUCAAUGCUGAAAUGUGGGGUAAGAUUUUGGUGAAAUUUUAAACAAAUUUAGGGAACUACCUUAAGUAAAUUCAACCAGGUAUCACAUGCAGUCUUACUUUGGAAUUGUGAAAAAAAAAUAAUAAUAAGAGUGGAAAUAUGGAAAGAGAAUGCAAUAGCUACAACAGCAUAAACAUUGACUAUUAAGAAUCAAAAUAAUAUUCAUAAAAAAUAUUCAUUAAGUUAGGUGUCAACAUUUGUAAGAAAUGCACUGUUCCUGGCUUCGAGGUGGAAGAAGGCCGCCACAAGCUAAGGAAUGUGGGCCGCAUCUAGAAGCUGGAAAAGGCAAGAAAACAGUCUCCUCUAGAGCCUCUAGAAGGAAUACAGUCCUGGUGACACCUUGGUCUUGGCCCAGUGAGACCCAUAUCAGAUUUCUAACCUACAGAACUAUAAGAUAGUACAUUUAUGUUUUCUUAAGCCACUAGGUGUGUAAUCAUUUGUUACAACAGCCACAGGAAAGGAAUGCAUGUAUGGUUCUCUACAUUUUUGGUCUCUGCAGAGACAGGGUGGAUGGGGCCAGGAGACUAGCUCUGGCACUUAGAAUGGGGGAUGGGUGUGAUUUGCCCCCUACCUGGGCAAUGUGCCAUGACCUCUCUCUCUGGUGGUUGGACAGCUGAAUGCAGAGGGUCAGUAGAGGGUCAAGGAGGCUCUAGUGGAUGGCAGAGUCGCUGUUUGCAAGGAGCCUUGAAUCUGAAGUCACCACUUGAAAGAGUGUUGCCUCUGGGAGCUGCCCCAACCAAAUGCAUGAGUCUUAAUCCCCUGAGUUCCCAGAGUUCAUUUUUCCCUGCAGCAGAGCUGCUUCUAGUCUAACUCCAGAAUCUCCAAAUCAGAUUAUUUUUUCUUUUUAAAAAAUUUUUAAAGAGUUUUUUUUCUUUUUUUUUUUUUAAGGGAUCAAACUUCUACAUGGGCAAAGUCAGAACUUUGUUGGGCUUCCUUAGCCUUAGUUUGUAAUUCAGUCUUUUUAAAAUUUCACGUAGCACAUGGAGAGCAUUGUAAUCAAAUUUCUAUACUUAGGGCUUGUGACGGUCUUAAACCAGUGCUACUUUCUUGGCCACGGAGGCACCCACAGCCUCACAGUGCAGACAGACAGCUCAUUGGUCUCUUACAGGCUCUUCUGGCCUUUUCCUAAAUAUGCUCUCCAGUGCCAUAAAUUUCUACUUUUGUCCAGAGAUUCCUUUUUCUUGGAAUAUGUACCCCACCCCUUCCUUUAAGCUCAGCUCAAUUCCAUCUCCUUCAAGAUGCCUUUCUAGAUUCUCCAAGGAAUAUGAAUUUCCUUCCUCCAUGAUUCCCUGUGUUCUUUCGUAAUACUUAUUAAUGGAUCCCUGUCCUCUCUACCCAAGUACACACACAGGCACAUCCUAAAAUGUAGCUUCCAGAAGGCAAAUAUCAUCCCAGGCUCACUGUGGUCCUUCACCAUAAGAUAGUGCUCUAGGGCAGUAAAUGCUCUGUGCAUUUGCAAAUUUUAGUAAAACCUCUGCGGCUGGUGGAAGAGUUUUGUUUUGUUUGUUUAAGCAGACAGGAUCACGUGGUGCCUUUUAUAUUAUCAUAUAGGACUGGUCCAUUUAUAUAGAGCAAGGGUCCCCCAAGAUUCCUUGUUCAUCAAAAUCUGAAUGACUAAACCAGGCACUGUGCUAAAGGGCCGGAGCACCACGUACCCUGUGGAACUAUCAAAUGUCACCCACUAGGACAGCUGCAAACCACAUAUAGAGUGUACCUACUACGUACCAGACUUUGGGCAGGUGAUCGACAUCAGCCUGAGCCUCUGGCCAGUCCUUCACUUUCUAGGACUUCUUCCCUUUCAGGGAAAUUUGGCCUCCCAGCAUCUGGGGAACAAGCUGCUUAUUUGCUAAUAUCUGUUUGCACAUCAGGGUUUUUUACUUUUAGGAACAGUUUGUCUCUCUGGCAGAUCUCCGUGUUCCCAUACCGUUGUUUAUGAUGUAACUAAGCAUCUAUCGUAUAGAAUUGAACUCAAUUCUCUUUUGAAACUGCAAGAGAUCUAACCCGCUCAUUUUCUUUCCAUUUAACAUACGAGAGGGGUGUGUAGGAGCAGUUUAUUAAGGGGGAGCUGUUUAUUGAGGGAUCCUGGGGCUAAUCCCAGCCCAUUAUUUCUCCAUUUCCUUACAGCUCACUGAGAAGGGUGGGAGAGAACAGGAACGGGGAGACUAUUCUUUCCUGAGUGAUUGUUUGGCCAGUCCACAGGGAUCCUGACUUUCCUACACCCAUCAGGGAAGUAGCAUCCAGAGGGUCAUUCCAGGGACAGGGCUGGCUGUGUCAGGCUGUAAUGAAUGGUUCAGACUGAGAAGUGGAACUUGGCCAACAACAGGGAAAGACAAUAAUCAUUGGAAAAUUUAGGCAUUGAGAAUAAGAUCCAUGUCUGUCUUAUGUCCCCUGGGUACCAACACAAUGACUUGGCUUAGUAACUGCCCCAUAAUGUUUAAAUUAUGUUCAGUGAAUGAGUGAAUGAAUGGAUGCCGUAUUCUUGCUUCCUUCUCCAAACACUCUUUAUAAAAUUACGGCAUCUCAUUCAUGUCUCCUCUAUAAAUCGGGAAUUUGGUGAGGCAUGCUGUUUAUUGCUUAGGAAUCAUUUUACUUAAUCACAAAGGUCCCAGGGGUUCAGGCGGGGAAAAAAAAAAAAAAGCAGGUUUGGGAGAAAGAGUAGGAUAGGAUCUUCCUAGAGAUUUUUCUUUCCUUUUUCUUUAAUGGGCGCACCCAUGGAAGAUGGAAAUUCCCAGGCCAGGUAUUGAAGCCCAGCCUCAGCUGUGGCCAGAUCCUUUAACCCACUGCACCAGGCUGGGGAUUGAACCUGCACCUCGACAGUGACCCAAGCUGCUGCAGUGGGAUUCUUAACCCAAGGUGCCACAGCACAGUGAGGCUAGAGCCCCACUUCAACUCCUAUAGAGUUGAAAGCUCUAUAGGAGUUUCUGUUAUGGCUCAGUGGUAACAAACCCUACUAGUAUCCAUGAGGACGCUGGGUUUGAUAAGCGGGUUAAGGCUCUGGUGUUGCCGUGAGCUGUGGUGUAGGUCACAGACACGGUUCAGACCUGCUGUUGCUAUGGCUGUGGUGUAGGCUGGCAGCUACAGCUCCAAUUCGACCUCCAACCUGGGAACUUUCAUAUGCUGCAGGUUUGGCCCCCAAAAAGACCAAAAAAAAAAAAAAA
rnacentral:lncRNA from 1 species